GUAGGUGGCAAGCGUUGUCCGGAAUUAUUGGGCGUAAAGCGCGCGCAGGCGGUUCUUUAAGUCUGAUGUGAAAGCCCACGGGCUCAACCGUGGAGGGUCAUUGGAAACUGGAGAACUUGAGUACAGAAGAGGAAAGCGGAAUUCCACGUGUAGCGGUGAAAUGCGUAGAGAUGUGGAGGAACACCAGUGGCGAAGGCGGCUUUCUGGUCUGUAACUGACGCUGAGGCGCGAAAGCGUGGGGAGCAAACAGGAUUAGAUACCCUGGUAAUCCACGCCGUAAACGAUGAGUGCUAAGUGUUAGGGGGUUUCCGCCCCUUAGUGCUGCAGCUAACGCAUUAAGCACUCCGCCUGGGGAGUACGGCCGCAAGGCUG
rnacentral:rRNA from 1 species